AGCGAACGCUGGCGGCGUGCUUAACACAUGCAAGUCGAACGGAUCCGGGGGGCAACCCCCGGGUUAGUGGCGAACGGGUGAGUAACACGUGGGUAAUCUCCCCCCGAGUGAGGGAUAAGCUUGCGAAAGCGGGUCUAAUACCGCAUGACGCUUCGGGACGUAAGUCUUCGAAGCCAAAGCCGUAAGGCGCUUGGGGAUGAGCCUGCGUCCUAUUAGCUAGUUGGUAGGGUAAUGGCCUACCAAGGCUGUGAUGGGUAGCCGGCCUGAGAGGGGGAUAGGCCACACUGGAACUGAGACACGGUCCAGACACCUACGGGAGGCAGCAGUGAGGAAUUUUGCGCAAUGGGCGAAAGCCUGACGCAGCGACGCCGCGUGGAGGAAGACGGCCUUCGGGUUGUAAACUCCUGUCAGAGGUGAAGAAUGCCCGCAAGGGCUUGACGGUAACCUCAGAGGAAGCCCCGGCUAACUACGUGCCAGCAGCCGCCGCGG
rnacentral:rRNA from 1 species